GCAUAUUCUGGGCAGCAGUGCAAAUAAAAAUACACUGGGUAGGAACUGGCAGCUUCUGUUUUGCACAGAUCUUUUGCUGUGGAUCUUCAGUUCUACUGUAGGUCUUUUGAAGGAAGGCAGCUGGGACCUGUGCGACUAGCAAGGGGCUGGGAAGCUGAUGUGCGGUAGGAGUCACAGGGUGUGGAGGGGGGUGGCUGUCUGCUCUCUGCAGGUUAUGACCCUAUAAUUCCCUUAUCGCAAAGGUGAAAUAUUGUGGUUAUAGCAUGGGAGACACCUGUAGUUAAAAAAGGAGGAAAUGCUACAGGGCAGAACUGUGACACGUGGACAUGAGUAACGGGAGAGGCUGUGGUGCCCAGGACUUUGGAACACGUGCCUCUUCCAAGGGGUUCCCGGGGUUUAAGAAACUCCCAGUGGAUAAGAGUGUCCCCUUUUGUGGAAGGGGAAGAGUGAGGACAAGCAUCCUUUUGUGGUUAGGAAAAAUUGUUCAGGUCUUCUGAAAAGACAACAGAAGUACCCAAGAGAGCUGAAUAGGAAAGGGUAGAGGGAGACCUGAAGAGAGUGAAUCUUGACUGUGGUCCCAGAGAAACCUUCCGUUUUCCUGCACAUGUUUUGCUGUGGCUCAGCAACUUGUCUUGGCAUUGCUCUGGGCUUUCUGGUCCCUCCUGUUCUGGUUCCCAACGUGGAAGAUGUGGAGAAGCUGGCCUACCAUAUAAGCAUCAUGUUCUUCAUGACAGCAGGCGUGGCAACAGCCCUCUUCAUCCUGGUUAUCAUAGUCUUCAAGGAGAAGCCCCCAUACCCUCCGAGCCAAGCUCAGGCCUUGAUCCAGUCACGACCGGCAAUGGAAUAUUCCUACAGGCAAUCAAUCCUUCGUCUGCUCCGCAACGCCAACUUUGUGCUGCUUAUGGUCACAUACGGUCUGAAUACAGGUUGCUUCUACUCCCUGUCCACUCUGCUGAACCGCAUGGUGAUUCAUCACUACCCAGGGAAGGAAGUGGAUGCUGGCAGGAUCGGACUUACCAUUGUACUGUCGGGGAUGGCUGGGGCUCUGGUCUCUGGCCUCUGGUUGGACAGAACCAAAACCUACAAACAGACAACGCUAGUGGUCUAUAUCAUGUCUCUGGUGGGAAUGAUAGUCUACACCUUCACUCUGAGUCUAGGCCACCUCUGGGUGGUCUUUGUGACUGCAGGUGUGCUGGGAUUUUUCAUGACAGGGUACCUUCCCCUGGGCUUCGAGUUUGCUGCAGAAUUGACAUACCCAGAAUCAGAAGGAACAUCAUCAGGGCUCCUUAAUGUCUCAGCACAGAUCUUUGGUAUUGCCUUCACCAUCAGCCAAGGGCAGAUCAUGGAUCACUAUGGGACAAAGGCAGGAAACCUCUUUCUUUGUUCCUUCCUGCUCCUGGGGACCAUUAUGACAGCAUUCAUUAAGGCUGAUCUCCAAAGACAGCAGGCCAAUGUGGAAAGUGAACGUACAGACGUUAGCAGAGCCAUCCACUCCAUGUGCAUGAAGCCAUCAACGACCAUGACUACCAAAGUCCAUAAGCUCUGUUCUCUGCUUGCUCAAGUCAGCUCUUCUUAGACGACAGUGCUGCCUUCCUUCAGAUAACAUAGCCAGUCUAAUCUGGAGAGAGACCAGAAGGUCCAAGAAGCAGCCCAGCUCCAACCGGCUGCUCAGGAAGGCUGUCGACUUGGGUUGAUUUCAGUAGUGGUGAGCCUUAUGGCCUACAGGUCUGAGCUAGAAGACUCUUCUGGAAUCCUGGCAUGAGUGGAGUUAACUGGAAGACACUUUGCUCUUUACUCCAGCUCAGCUUAGCUGUCUGUUUUCAUGCACACCAAACUACCUGUAUCCUUCAAUUAGAGUGAUGAAGGAGAAGAUAAAUUUUAAGGCCAAACCAUUCUCUGCAUGCCCUGUGGUAACAAGGGAGGAACAUGGGGAGAAGUGCUGGUGACACUGCCUGUUAAUUCAAAGCAUGUUUGUGGAAAUCCUUGAAAUAUCAAGGUCCAGUGGCAGCGCACAUGAUGCCUAGUAGUAAUAAGGUCAUUUACCUUUGUCAGACACUUCUCUCACCAGAUGAAUUGUAUGCUUUUACUAUUUUUUGUAUAAAUCUAAAAUACAGUUGUAAGAUCUUGCUGCUGGAGAGGGGGUGUUGAGACCAGAGCAAAAGGUGGUAUAGGUGUCACUUCUAUAACCCUAAAGGCUUCCAACACUGACUGCAAUAAAAACCAGAGGGAUGUGUGUGAGUGAGGUAAUAGGUCUCAGUCAGUCACAAACUUCAUUGGCAGCUCCUUCUUCCUGUGGAGUCAUGCUCUAUGGAAGUCAUGAUAGAUGCCCCCGCUACCCCUCACCCCAAAUGUGGCUUCUGAAUGGCUGAGCUCACCUGGUUAUUUCUCAGGUUUAACAAACAACCCCGGGUGCUUGACCUACUGGAGCAGGGCUGAACCUGGUGUUCUGCAUUAACAUGGGUGCCUCAGUCAGCUGGGCUUAGGCACUGUGUGCUGCCUUUGUGGAGAACUCUGAUGGAGUCAUGUACUGGAGCUUUGCUACGUGGCAUGGCUGCCUUACACAUGCUUGAGUGAUUUUUACUGAUUUCUUUCUUUGCCUGUUCCUCUCGUUCUAUUUUUAUUUUUCCCUCCCCUCAUUUCCCUCUUGCUUCCGUCUUUUCUGGGAUCUGACUUUUGGCUGUUGUUACAGAGACUCCAAGGCAGCAAUCAGAUCACGGAUUAUGGCUAGUUUGUAACCCUAACCCCAUCAAUUCCCACUCCUGUUCACUAGCUCACACAAAGGUAGGAGAAUCAUGCUAAUCUGCCUGUCUGAACAUUCACGGGUGGCACAGGCACCAAGCCAAUGACACGUGGGUCAGCAGCAAUAGCCAUGGGGUGCUGAGUGCUGGCCUUCCUGGGGGCGGGUUUGAGAGGAAAGAUAAGACAGCUUUCCUGAACCUUCCUGAACAGUGAAGAUCCCACCAGACUCGCAUCAGAUGGGGGCAUUCAAAGAGGUGCAGCAAAGCAGAGCCAGGUAUUGGAGCACAUGAAGAACUGAAUUAUCAGCACGUUACUGGAGAGAGGAAGUGCAGGUAUUUGGAGGCCUUUCUCUGAUACUCUUAUUGUCCAGCUUCUUGGCUGGAAGUGAUGCCAGGAGGUCUGUAGAAGAGUUGGCUCUCAUCACAAGCAGGGCUUGUGGCCAGCUACAUGAGGGAUUUAAAAAAAAAAAAAA